GGCUCAUUUGGUAGAGUGUUUGCCUUGCAUGCACAAGGCCUGGGUUCAAUCCCCAG
rnacentral:tRNA from 1 species